rnacentral:rRNA from 1 species
CGUGCCAGCAGCCGCGGUAAUACGGGAGGAGCGAGCAUUAUUCGGAAUGAUUAGGCGUAAAGGGUUUGUAGGUUGUUUUUUAAGUUGAAAAAAAAAGAAUAAAGCUCAACUUUAUAAAUUUUUUCAAAACUGAAAAACUGGAGUAUAAAUAGAGGAUAAUGGAAUUUCUAUUGGAGUGAUAAAAUACUGUGAUAAUAGAAGGAAGGUCAAAAGCGAAGGCAAUUAUCUGGGUAUAUACUGACACUGAGAAACGAAAGCUUGGGUAGCAAACGGGAUUAGAGACCCCGGUAGUCCAUGCUGUAAACGAUGAGUGCUCAUAUUUAGAAUUUUUAGGUAUUAAGCUAACGCGUUAAGCACUCCGCCUGAAAAGUAUAAUCGCAAGAUUGAAAUUCAAAGGAAUUGACGGGAGCUUACACAAGCGGUGGAGCAUGUGGUUUAAUUCGAUAAUACGCGCAGAACCUUACCAAUUCUUGUUAAUUUAAAUAAAAAAUAGAAAAGACAUAAUUUAUUUAAAACAGGUGUUGCAUGGCUGUCGUCAGCUCGUGUUUUGAGAUGUUUGGUUAAAUCCUUUAACGAGCGUAACCCUUAUUAUUAGUUACUAAUUUAUUUUAAAAUCUCAAUUAAAAAUAAAAGCACAUUAAUAAGAAUUUCAAUUAUAGGUUGAAUGAAGUGGGGAUGACGUCAAGUCUUCAUGGCCCUUAUGAAUUGGGCUACACACGUGCUACAAUGGUAAUUACAGUAAGAGGCAAUAACGAUUAUAAAAGUUGGAGCAAAUCUUUAAAAAUUAUCUUAGUUCGAAUUAUGGGCUGAAACUCGCCCAUAUGAAGUUGGAAUCGCUAGUAAUCGCAGAUCAGCAUGCUGCGGUGAAUAUGUUACU